GCUCGGUUAGCUCAGUUGGUUAGAGCGUCGUACUAAUAUUAUACAGGUCAAACUGUAUAACAUUGGUAAUGCGAAGGUCAUGAGUUCGACCCUCAUACUGAGCA